rnacentral:rRNA from 1 species
CAGGAUUAGAUACCCUGGUAGUCCACGCCGUAAACGAUGUCGACUUGGAGGUUGUGCCCUUGAGGCGUGGCUUCCGGAGCUAACGCGUUAAGUCGACCGCCUGGGGAGUACGGCCGCAAGGUUAAAACUCAAAUGAAUUGACGGGGGCCCGCACAAGCGGUGGAGCAUGUGGUUUAAUUCGAUGCAACGCGAAGAACCUUACCUGGUCUUGACAUCCACGGAAGUUUUCAGAGAUGAGAAUGUGCCUUCGGGAACCGUGAGACAGGUGCUGCAUGGCUGUCGUCAGCUCGUGUUGUGAAAUGUUGGGUUAAGUCCCGCAACGAGCGCAACCCUUAUCCUUUGUUGCCAGCGGUCCGGCCGGGAACUCAAAGGAGACUGCCAGUGAUAAACUGGAGGAAGGUGGGGAUGACGUCAAGUCAUCAUGGCCCUUACGACCAGGGCUACACACGUGCUACAAUGGCGCAUACAAAGAGAAGCGACCUCGCGAGAGCAAGCGGACCUCAUAAAGUGCGUCGUAGUCCGGAUUGGAGUCUGCAACUCGACUCCAUGAAGUCGGAAUCGCUAGUAAUCGUGGAUCAGAAUGCCACGGUGAAUACGUUCCCGGGCCUUGUACACACCGCCCGUCACACCAUGGGGAGUGGGUUGCAAAAGAAGUAGGUAGCUUAACCUUCGGGAGGGCGCUUACCACUUUGUGAUUCAUGACUGGGGGUGAAGUCGUAACAAGGUAACCA